rnacentral:rRNA from 1 species
AAGAUUAAGCCAUGCAUGUCUAAGUAUAAGCAAUUAUAUAGUGAAACUGCGAAUGGCUCAUUAAAUCAGUUAUCGUUUAUUUGAUAGUACCUAACUACUUGGAUAACCGUGGUAAUUCUAGAGCUAAUACAUGCUAAAAACCCCGACCUCCGGAAGGGGUGUAUUUAUUAGAUAAAAACCAAUGCCUUCGGGCUUGUUGGUGAUUCAUGAUAACCCAACGAAUCGCAU